AGCGUUACUCUGACGAGGGUGUUUGGGACUGCGAGGCGGCUGCCAGCUUUUGCUGCUUCACAUGUUACCUCCAACAUCUAAGGGAGGGAAGUCUUCAAAGAUUAGCACAUCAGAUGCUGCUCACCACCUAAUGAAAUUCAUCAAGGUGGGAGGUAGCGCGGAG